rnacentral:rRNA from 1 species
UUUAUCUGGAGAGUUUGAUCCUGGCUCAGGACGAACGCUGGCGGCGUGCCUAAUACAUGCAAGUCGAGCGGACUUAUUCGAGUAGCUUGCUAUUUG